CCUACGGGUGACAGCAGUGAGGAAUAUUGGUCAAUGGGCGCGAGCCUGAACCAGCCAAGUCGCGUGAGGGAUGACGGCCCUACGGGUUGUAAACCUCUUUUGCCGGGGAGCAACGGGCGCCACGUGUGGCGCCACUGAGAGUACCCGGAGAAAAAGCAUCGGCAAACUCCGUGCCAGCAGCCGCGGUAAUACGGAGGAUGCGAGCGUUAUCCGGAGUGACUGGGUGUAAAGAGUUGCGUAGGUGGCAUAAUAAGUAGCUAGUGAAAUCUGGUGGCUCAACCAUUCAGACUAUUAGCUAAACUGUUAAGCUCGAGACCGUUAGGGGUAACUGGAAUUUCUAGUGUAGGAGUGAAAUCCGUAGAUAUUAGAAGGAACACCAAUAGCGUAGGCAGGUUGCUGGGACGGUUCUGACACUAAGGCACGAAAGCGUAGGGAGCAAACGGGAUUAGAUACCCCGGUAGUC
rnacentral:rRNA from 1 species